rnacentral:rRNA from 1 species
UACAGAGGUCCCGAGCGUUGUUCGGAUUCAUUGGGCGUAAAGGGCGCGUAGGCGGUUCGUACAGUCAGACGUGAAAUUCCUGGGCUCAACCUGGGGGCUGCGUUUGAUACGUGCGGACUUGAGUGCGGAAGAGGGUCGUGGAAUUCCCAGUGUAGAGGUGAAGUUCGUAGAUAUUGGGAAGAACACCGGUGGCGAAGGCGGCGACCUGGCCCGAUACUGACGCUGAGGCGCGAAAGCGUGGGGAGCAAACAGG